CCUACGGGGAGCAGCAGUAGGGAAUCUUCCACAAUGGGCGAAAGCCUGAUGGAGCAACGCCGCGUGGGUGAAGAAGGUCUUCGGAUCGUAAAACCCUGUUGUUAGAGAAGAAAGUGCGUGAGAGUAACUGUUCACGUUUCGACGGUAUCUACCCAGAAAGCCACGGCUAACUACGUGCCAGCAGCCGCGGUAAUACGUAGGUGGCAAGCGUUAUCCGGAUUUAUUGGGCGUAAAGGGAACGCAGGCGGUCUUUUAAGUCUGAUGUGAAAGCCUUCGGCUUAACCGGAGUAGUGCAUUGGAAACUGGGAGACUGGAGUGCAGAAGAGGAGAGUGGAACUCCAUGUGUAGCGGUGAAAUGCGUAGAUAUAUGGAAGAACACCAGUGGCGAAAGCGGCUCUCUGGUCUGUAACUGACGCUGAGGUUCGAAAGCGUGGGUAGCAAACAGGAUUAGAUACCCCUGUAGUC
rnacentral:rRNA from 1 species